AAAUUACAAGUAUAUUUUUAAUGCUAUAUUCAAAAUUACACUACUAUAUAUUAAUUCUAUCUCGUUUCUCAUAUAUCAAAUUAUAUUUCAUUAUUAUAUCCAAGAGCAAAAUUGCCAUCUUGCUUAAUUUUUGUCAAUCUAAUAUCUUAUUCUAAUAUAAAUAUUCAAACACUAUAAGGGCGCGUUUGGUUCGAGUUAUAUAAUAUUACAGAGUAUUUCAAUAUAUCCAGAUAUCUUGCAUUUCUAAAUAAGAUUAUUACUGAUAUUGCAUUAGUGCGUUCGAUUUAAUACAGUAAUAUAAUACUGGAUUGCAUUGUUUAUAUCACUACUAUGUUUGGUUCACUCUAUAAAAUUCAGCAAUCUUGACUAUAAAGUAUAAUCUAUUCUAAAAUUGUCCUUAGCCAUAUUUGGCAAACUUUCUUUACUCUUUACUAAUAUAAUAUUUUUUUAUUAAAUUUUAUUUUAAAUAAUUUAAAAUUUUAAAAUUUUAAAUUUAAACAAAAUAUAAAAUUUAAUAUUUUAAUUUAAAAUAUAAAUAUGAAAUUUAUAAAUUUAAAAUCUAAAAUAUAAAUGUAAAUUAAAAUUUAAAAUUUAAGAUUUAAAAUCUAAAUUCAAAAUUUAAAAUUUAAUCUAAAUUUAAAAUUUAAAAAAUUUGAAUUUUAAAAUUUAAAUUUUAAGAUUUAAAAUUAAUUAAAUUUAAAAUUUAAAAAUUAAAAUUUAUAUUUAAUUUUGAAUUUAAAUUUAAAUUAAAAUUUAAAAUUUAAAAUUUAUUUGAAAUUUGAAAUUUGAAGUUUAAAAAUUUAAAUUUUAAAAUUCAAAAUUUUAAAUUUGAAAACUAAAAAUUAAAAUUAAAAUUUAAAAUUUAAAAAUUGACAAUUCAAAAUUUAAAAUUUGAAAUUUGAAGUUCAAAAUUUAAAAUUUAAAAUUUUAGAUUUAAAUUUAAAAUUUAAAAUUUAAUUUUAAAAUUUAAUUUUCAAAUUUAAAAUUUAAAAUUUAAAAUUUUAAUUUAUAUUUACAAUUUAAAAUUUAAAAUUUAAAAUUUAAAAUUUGAAAUUUAAAAUUUGAAGUUUAAAAAUUUAAAAUUUAGAAUUGGAAAUUUUAAAUUUAAAAAUUAAAAAUUUAAAAUUUAAAUUUAAAAUUAAAAAUUUAAAAAUUUAUAAUUGAAAAUUUUAAAUUAAAAUUUUUAAAAUUAUGUAUUGAAAGGAUUUCGGAAGAUGGAGGGGUAAACUUGUAAUUUUAUAUAACAUGUAAGAUUUGCCGUUUUCGGUAAUCCAAGAUACAUACCCCCCUCUCGAUAUUUUUGGUGUAAUCUUAUACCUUUUGUAAUGUGACAACACCAAACAGAUUGUAUACCGAAUGAACAAAAACGUAGUAAUCCUGCCAGGAUUAUUUGUAAUCCUGCCAAGAUAACCCGAACCAAAUGCAAAGGAAUAUCCUUCAAAAACAAAUAAACAACACGCAAACUUAUUUCAGAUUAUCCUAAAAUGUCUCCUAUUCUAAAAAGUAAUACAAAUUAUUUUCUAAAAUUUAGUUCUUGAAUCAAACACAACCUU
rnacentral:lncRNA from 1 species